GACGAUCUUCUUUCCCCUUCUCCAGGCUCCUCCUCACCAACCGUGUCUCUUCUCUCUCCCCCUCCUAAUUCUGGAUCGAGAUCUCCCGUAGGCAUUACAAUUGGUGAUCAGAGCCUUCCUAGAAUUUUUUUCCAUCGAUUGACACCGUCGUUGCUCGCUUAUCCUCUAGAUCGAGCGGUAACAUCCACCAAGCUAGGUGCUAGCCGCUCCCUUAAGCUCGCCCGAAAUCCUACUAGGGUUUCCCCUCGAUUCGGAGCGCGACCACGGCUUCGUCCAAACCCUCGGCGCAGACCCGUUGCGUGCUUGACAAGAAAACAGACACCAUGGAAAAGCUGCACAGCCUGCUCGAGUCCGUUCUCCGCCGCCUUGACGCCAACCAGAAG
rnacentral:lncRNA from 1 species